UACGGAGGGAGCUAGCGUUAUUCGGAAUUACUGGGCGUAAAGCGCACGUAGGCGGCUUUGUAAGUCAGAGGUGAAAGCCUGGAGCUCAACUCCAGAACUGCCUUUGAGACUGCAUCGCUUGAAUCCAGGAGUGGUGAGUGGAAUUCCGAGUGUAGAGGUGAAAUUCGUAGAUAUUCGGAAGAACACCAGUGGCGAAGGCGGCUCACUGGACCGGCAUUGACGCUGAUGUGCGAAAGCGUGGGGAGCAAACAGG
rnacentral:rRNA from 1 species